rnacentral:rRNA from 1 species
UACGUAGGGUCCGAGCGUUGUCCGGAGUUACUGGGCGUAAAGGGCGCGCAGGCGGCGGGGCUGGCCCGGCGUGAAAGCCCCCGGCUCAACCGGGGAGGGUCGUCGGGGACCGCACCGCUUGAGGGCGGUAGGGGCCGGUGGAAUGCCUGGUGUAGUGGUGAAAUGCGUAGAGAUCAGGCAGAACACCUGGGGUGAAGGCGGCCGGCUGGGCCGACCCUGACGCUGAGGCGCGAAGGCGUGGGGAGCGAACGGG